AGCACUAUAUAUAAACUGAUGGAUGGGAAUUGUCCCCAUUCUAAGUUACACUGUAGUGCAAAAGGAUUCCUGGCUCUUUCCCAUGCACAGAUGACAUAGUACCAUUCUUCUGUUGCUGGACAGAGUUAAGGAACAGUA